UGGGGUUGCAUGAAUGUGCCAUCCGGGUUUAUCAUCGGGUACAGCAUAGAGAUCACCGGGAGACUAGGGGUGACAUAGGAGUGACGGAAGGGGGGGUCCGGACCGAAUGAUAUUAAAGGUCCGUUCAUGGGCGUUGGCUGGGGACAAGAUGGCACUGUAGCUAACACGGGAAAUGAUGGGAUGUGCCGGGGAGUAGUUACCAAGGUGUGGUUUUGUGG